CUGGAUCCGACUACACGACCCGUGAGGAAUCACAGGUGCAAAAGAAGAUGCAAGGUACCAGUGGUACCGUACCAACUAUGAUUCUUAUGACAGAACCACUUAUGGGGACGUUUAUGGCAGCACCAAAGAACUGGGUUUCUCGCGAAGGGGAAAAAUUCACUCUGACAUGGACCACCGAAAACGGAUUCCAGCCAAGAGGCGACCACUUGCCCGUUGCUCCCGUCCACGUUUACGAGCUCCCAGUUACCCCUACCCUCCCUUACCACCGCAGAGGGGCAGGUAGCAAAACCUACAAUACCUUUUUAUUAGAUUGUUUAUGAAUUUUUCGUGUUUUAUUUAUCUUAAGCUACCAUGAUCCCUGACAAAGUUUGAUUAAUUAAAUUAAAAUUCUCAAAAAUUCGUUGGAGUUCUAUUUUCUGUUACAAACGAUCCUCUUGGCAAUUUAGCUUAUUUGGACAGUGGAGAUAGCCGCUACAUCAUACCCAAAUCAUGCAUACUACCUACAUCAUACCAUUUAUGAUUAUGAAAUCUUAUGAUUCAUGUUUUUGUCUGUUGAAUAACUUGAAUUUUUUCACAAUUUUAGUGUAACCACCUUUUUCAUAUUCAUGCAACCUUGCCCACUCCCCCUCCUAUUGAUAUCAUUCAAAAUGGACGCUGACUUGUUGACAGUGCGUUAAUUAACUUGUGACGGUGUGAUUGUUUCGAGAGUUAUUCACUGCAUUUUGGUGUUUUUGACUAACUGAAUCGCUGUAAAACAGAGCAGCAAGCAGAGCAACGUUGUUUAACAAAGACCUUCCUGGUUCACCCAUCGUGUCAUUUGACAAUUUCACAAUUGUUUUGUGGUUUCUGAUACGAGGUCAUUGGGCCUAUGACUCCGACUCCAGGAAAGUUACGUAAUGGAUAAACGAGUUCGUUCUUCAAGAAUCGUGAGAAUUCGACUCUCUCCACGUGAGUUAGGAACUUUAAAGAGACGGCACCUCCAAGUAAAUCACGACGCUGUAGCUGUACGGCUGUAGUUGCUACUUUCUUAAUGCGAAAAUCCUGAUUUUGAGGCAACGCUGCUCUUUUUUGACAUGACACAGAAUCUAGUCUUCAUCCCCGCUUGAUUCAUUUCGUGCCAGUUAGUGGAAGGCGUGACGAAUUCAAGUUGAGAUGUUGCUGUUGUCUCCAAGCAAGCAAUCCAAUUGGCUGUCGCUAGGUGGCUAAAAUGAUGUCCACCAAAUAGCGCCAUGUUGUUUUUAACAGACGCAGCCGAAAUGAGUGUUGUUGAAUGUUUAUCGGGACGUUUCCCAUGCUGGAAAUGAAAAGUUAAGGGCCAAAUUAUCUCGUACCGUAAGUGCCUGUACAUUUCGCCAAAAUGUCGUGCCUCGAGCGUCUUGCUGCCUGUAGAUUUCCGUAAUCUAUACUUCAUAGCAAUUAAUUUUAUGUUCAGGUGGGAGAUCCAUUUGCUUGUCUGUAAAAUAAUUUGAGAUCAAAACAAAUUCAGCUUCAUUGCUGUCAUGCAGAUGGUUUCGUUGCAGCCACCCUGUGAAAAAGGAGUUAAAGUUGAGCUGCAGCUGCUGCACACAGUCUGUAGCGGUGAUGUCAUCCUGAAGUGUUCUCAAUGUGUCAGUCUAGGCUGAAGCUAAUCAAAGUGCGCUGUUCAAGUCUUAUCAAAGACGUCAAGCACAUUGCAAACAAAUUAUAAACAAGGGUCUAAACUUCACUUUUCUAAAUUUGUAUGACAAACUCUAUGAGAAGUUAUGUCGUUUGAAGAAAAAGGAUGAUGACUACACAGUCAACAAGAUCCCUUGUUUAUUUGCUGCUACCUGUGAAUUUCCCUUUUUACUUCCUUAAACGGCCCUCUUAAUUGAGAUAUUGCUUUCUGUAGCUAAAAUCUUAUUGAAAAUUAUUGUCAUCCAAAUAAAUGUUUAUUCUGCUUACAGGGUAACUCCUUCGCUGAUCAUCCACUGGACCCGACUUCAUCGAUUGGUGAAAGCUGACGAGAGAAUGCUGUAAUUAAAGACUGAUAAAUUGUGUAGUUGUUAGAUAAAUUACAAGUGCAUAUCUGGCCUCCUUUCUUCAGUGGCUCCGUUUCCCUAAUAACCACUAACCAACGCCCGCCGGUGGUCACUCACUCGCUGCGACAACCAGGAGGAAGGGAGAUGUGUGGUCGAACGGGGACUGGCAAGGCGCAUGAUUCGAUGAAAUCUGUUGGAGGGUCAUGAGUCUAAGCCGGAAGCCUACUAUGAUACACUGCUCUCAUAAUAACU